rnacentral:rRNA from 1 species
UACGGAGGGUGCAAGCGUUGCUCGGAAUUAUUGGGCGUAAAGGGCAGGUAGGUGGUCUCAUUUGUCUGGUGUGAAAUCCUUGGGCUUAACCCAGAAGUGCGCCAGAAACGGUGAGACUGGAGUCCUAGAGAGGGUCGUGGAAUUCCCGGUGUAGCGGUGAAGUGCGUAGAGAUCGGGAGGAACACCAGAGGCGAAGGCGGCGACCUGGAUAGGUACUGACACUCAACUGCGAAAGCGUGGGGAGCAAACAGGAUUAGAUACCCCGGUAGU